rnacentral:rRNA from 1 species
AACGGCCAUACCAGGUUGAAUAUACCGGUUCUCGUUAGAUCACCGAAGUCAAGCAUCAUUGGGCGCGGUCAGUACUUGGGUGGGUGACCACCUGGGAACACUGCGUGCCGUU